UGGUGUCAUGGAUGUAAUAUUGGGACACAAGCAUGCAAAAAGAAAACUUUAUGGAUGACAAAAAGAGUUGUGAGCUUUAAAAUAGGAAAACAAAAAAUAAAUAAAAUCCUCAUGGUUAACAUUAAGAAUUAUUGUAAAACAUUUGGUUUUUUGUAUGUAGUUGAGGGAAGUUGUUUUAACUUGUGUGGAGCCUCUACAUUUGCUACGAUAAAGGUAAGGCAAAUUUGACAUCAUGAAUUACUAUUAGCAUUCAUCAAGAAAAAAAAUCACUUCAUGCAUUUCAUAAAUAUGCGCUGUAAAUCGAUUUUUGUUUCUUUUUCUCGUUUUUCUUUUUUGCAAACAUGUAAUACUGUAUUUUAUCACAGAAAUAAUGCAGCUUUUUGCUUGAAUGAUAGAUUAUGU
rnacentral:lncRNA from 1 species